rnacentral:lncRNA from 1 species
ACCCCAAAAAAGGUAUUCGACCCCUCUUUCUCUCUGGAAUCUCACAGCAAAAAUCAGAGAGUGGUUGGUGCACAAAAAUGUAGGCUUCUUAUGGUUGUCACACAAAUGGGAUUAGAUAGGAUAAGAGUUAGAAUUUGUUGCAAUUCAAAUUAUUUUGAAUUUUAAUUUAACUCUAACUUUUUUUCAUCCUUAUUUGACUUAAAGAGUGACCUACUAGAGAAUUUUGGAUCUGGAAAAUAAUCAAGAACACUUCUUUUUUGUCACAUAUAAUAGGCGCCUUCACAAGGAACCAACGUGUGGAAGGAUAGGGAUAAGGUUUUAGGUUUAAAUUCAAAUAUUUUGAAUUCAAUUUAAAACCAGCCUUAAUCUAUUACUAAUGGGCAACAAAAUAAAUAUUUUGGCAUGGAUUUUUCAGUGCACAAACCAAUUUGUGUGAUGGAAUAAGGUGUGGAGAGAAGG